AGCGGAGGAAAAGAAACCAACAGGGAUUGCCUCAGUAACGGCGAGUGAAGCGGCAAAAGCUCAAAUUUGAAAUCUGGCUGCUUUUUUAGUAGUCCGAGUUGUAAUUUGAAGAAUAGAUCCUUGGAGAGGCGCCUUGUCUAUGUUCCUUGGAACAGGACGUCGCAGAGGGUGAGAAUCCCGUUUGGCGAGGUGUGCUGAUCCGUGUAAGGGCUGUUCGACGAGUCGAGUUGUUUGGGAAUGCAGCUCUAAGUGGGUGGUAAAUUCCAUCUAAAGCUAAAUAUUGGCGAGAGACCGAUAGCGAACAAGUACAGUGAUGGAAAGAUGAAAAGAACUUUGAAAAGAGAGUGAAAAAGUACGUGAAAUUGUUGAAAGGGAAGGUUAUUAGAUCAGACUUGGAUUUUUUAUUAUAUUUGUCUCCUUGUGGGGCAUUCACUAAUUUUUAAUCCAGGCCAGCAUCGAUUGGGAUGGCGGGAAAAAGAGGGAGGAACGUGGCUGUGCAUUUAUGUGCAGUGUUUAUAGCCUUUCUUAAUACCGCCUGUCUCGAUCGAGGACUGCGGCAAAUUUAUUUUUGCCUAGGAUGCUGGCGUAAUGAUCUAAUAUCGCCCGUCUUG
rnacentral:rRNA from 1 species